GUUGAUGUGAACUUGAGGUCCGGCAAUGCAAACUCGUCCCAUUCUCAGUUGUGUAUUUCCAUGUGGAGCUUACCGAGAAGCAAUGCGUCUGGGCAGGAAGUCCCCCGAUGAUGUGGUGCUCAACAACAUGCCUUCCAGGAGUCAUGCACAGUACAUGUCCACCGGUGUCUGUGGUGAUCUACCCUAAGGCUCUAAGCACUCAAGGCAAGAGAGGUGGGCUACCAUAUUUUCACUUCAGAAUAAAUCAGGUUAGUGGGUUGUAUUUCGAUUUUCUCAUUGUGCUCUAAUUUAAUAUGCAUAAUAGGUCUCCAAAUUUUCACUUCUGAAUUUUUUAGGCGCAUUGGCUUUUCCAGGCUUUUAUGUGUAAUUGGACUGAGAUGUAGUAAACUGUUGAUUUUGUGCCA